GGGAAGGAGGGGGUGUCCUCCCUCGCCAGCUCUCACUUGGAAGUGACACUGGUCUUCGUGUUUCCAUCUCAUUAACUCCUCAAAUGUCUUUUGUCAGCAAAUAAUUUAUUAUCUCCAGUGAUCUCAAAUACAUGGUUUUAGAAGCCUCAACGAAUGCUCAGUGGUUCUGUGGUGUCCCGAGCCCUUUGGAGGCAUGCAUCCUCUAUUUCCUUGUGGACACCUGUGAGGAAGCCAGGCUGGCUGGGCAGCGCCCCUGGCAUGCUGCUCCUGGCACCUUGCUCACUGCACUGAGCCCUCCCUGUAUUCUGAGGCGGGGCUCCCAGAGCUGGGUGGACAUCCAGUCCAGAGAGGAGUUGUGCUUGUUUUCUGGUCCUCUCACCCUUCCGCUGGGCUUCAGGACCCACAGAGGACAAAGGCUGACCCAGGUGAGCGCCCAGAGAGACUCGGGGGUCCCGCGAGUGGGCCUGGGUGGGAGUGUCUGGCCACCCCCCUCCCAGCUCUGUUCCUGCAGAGCCUCAGUGCCUCGUGUCACCCUAUUCUGUUCUCCAAAAUGAUGCUGAGCCCUUGCGGUCGGGCCAGGGGAGGGAGGAGAGACGCCGGCUGUUUCGGGUGAGCUGGUGAGGCAGCGCGCCCCCCAGCUCCUUGCCGCCAGCGUGGGGCGUCUGCACAGCUGCAGGCACCUGGGGCCAGUUCUUCCCCUCCUUCCCUCUCCGGCCCGCCCUCCUGCUCUCCAGUUUCUGUCUAACCCCGCCAGGACCCAUUGACACUUCUUUCAGUGGACAUGGGCUCCUGCAGGUCGUGGUGCCACUGGAGACAGGGCCCCGGGUCCCACUGGGAAGACUGGGGGUCACUCGAUGCCCCACAGAAGGAGGCCUUCGGGGACCUGCCCAUCUGGGUAAGGAUGUGGGUUCCAGGCAGGCUUGGCCUGACGACCGGAUGCCACGGGGCUCUGUUAGAGGAAGCCUUAUCUUAGCCUGCCUUCCUUCUGCAGGAGUUGGGGCGGGGGCGGGGGGGUAGCCCAGGAGAUUGGUCUGGGGCUAAACUGGGCCUGAAGCUUUUGCUGGGGAAUGCAGAUGCCCUCACGUCGCCCAUCUGCCAUCACACACACCUGUGCACACCUGGCUGAGGUCUGCCCAGACCCAACCUCAGGUCACACACACAGCUCUGGUCCUGCUGGCUGGACCUCUUGCAUCUGAGCAGGUAACUUCUCCCCCAACUCUUGGGCCAUCUUGGGGACCUGCAGCUCUGGGUUUUUCUGGGAGUGGGAGCACCUGCCAGGGCUGCUGGGCAUCUCCUCGCAUUUGCCUUCUGCCCCCGUCAGCGCAGAACCACAGCCAGAGGAGAGGCUGGCUGUGAACGCCACCUGGGUGCAUCUUGCUCAGGGAAGGGAAGGGUCAGUGGACCGUUCGUGGGGGCUGCGUGGCCCAUCUCCACCCAGGGGUCCAUUGAGGGUCCAGCUGCCCUGCGAGGGAGACCUGGCUGAACGUUUUCAAAAGCUGAUACCCCUGCGCCUGGGUUGCAGCUUCCUGCUCUUGUCACCGCUCCCAGCCACGGCCAGGAGGACCUCAGCAGGAACGAGGAGGUGCUGAUGGUCCCCAGUCAAAGACAACUUCGGAUUUUGCUGCUGCGUCAGAAGAGGGGGGUGUCCGACAUGCUGACGAGGCCCGAGGCAGCAGCGAGCUGGGGGAAGCCCAUGACUUCGGCAGAGCCAAGGGCAAAGCACGAGAACGUGACUCAGGAACCUCUGCAGAGGAAGAACCAGCAGCCUGCAGAAGAUCUGGAGCCAGGGAUUGAGCCUGCACCACAGCUGCAACCCAAGCCACAGCAGUGAAAACACUGCAUCUUUAACCCUCUGCACCAACAGAGAACUCCAUGUAUCAUUCUUUAUUAGAUUCUACAUAUAAGAGAUACCAUAUAUUUACCUUUCUC